UGCAAGUGCCAUACACGCCAGCUUAAAUGGCGAAAACCGCGAACGGCUCAUUAAAACGGUCGUAAUUUACUAGAUCUUACGAAAUUUAAACGUGGAUAACUGUGGUAAUUCUAGAGCUAAUACAUGCACACGAGCUCCGAUCCCCGCCCGUCGUAGCUUCGGUUGCGGCGGGUUUGGCCGGCGGCCUUAAAACCGUCGGUCGGGGUACGAGCGCUUUUAUUAGAACAAGACCAACCGGGAAUUGUUACCGCGACCUCGGUCGGCCUGGUGCACCCGUUUGUCGUUGCGCCAAUUUAUUGGUUGCGCGUCAAUUAAUUAAAAUUUGUUGGUGACUCUGGAUAACCGAAGCCGAUCGCUAACGGCUUUCAUGCCGGCGACGGUUCUUCUAAGCGUCUGACUUAUCAACUGUCGACGGUAGGUUAACAAGCCUACCGUGGUGAUAACGGGUAACGGGGAAUCAGGGUUCGAUUCCGGAGAGGGAGCCUGAGAAACGGCUACCACAUCCAAGGAAGGCAGCAGGCGCGCAAAUUACCCACUCCCGGCACGGGGAGGUAGUGACGAAAAAUAACGAUGCGGGACUCUUUCCGAGGCCCCGUAAUCGGAAUGAGAACAAAUUAAAGCAGUUAGCGAGGAUCGAUUGGAGGGCAAGUCUGGUGCCAGCAGCCGCGGUAAUUCCAGCUCCAAUAGCGUAUAUUAAAGUUGUUGCGGUUAAAAAGCUCGUAGUCGGAUUAACAGUCUCGGCUGUGACGGUCCGUCGCUUUUCGNCCUUUUUCCCUCGUUCGAUCCGGGCACGUGCUCCUUAACGGGAGUCCACGCUAGUCAGGCGUUCGCUGGGAGGGUCGGGGCGCGGUGCCUUCGGGUAAAAAGCCGUCCAGUUUCCGAGACGCAAAAUUGGAAACAAUUUGUCGCCGGUCGUUCGCUAAAAAUACGGGUCUUUUCCUCUUUCGGUGACGGGUAACAUGGCGGCAGUUUCGGGGAUUGUUUGCGUUAUCCGCACUUGCUUCGGCUCGUGACACGCUGCAGUCCUAUACCAAACGUUCUGUCGUUCCGUUUCAUCGGGGUUGAAUCGACUCUAACGCGUGUCGCGCUUUUAACGAUGCUCUUUACUGGGUGUCGGGCGCGGCAAGAUCGGCGACGCAUCACUUUGAAAAAAUUAGAGUGCUCAAAGCGGGCGAGGCGUCACCUUGUGUGCGCUGCAUAUCGCUCGAACAAAUCAGCAUGGAAUGACGGAAUAAGACCGCGGUUCUAUUCUGUUGGUCUAUUGGAUACGUGGUAAUGAUCGAUAGAGACUGACGGGGGCAUUCGUACUGCAACGCUAGAGGUGAAAUUCUUGGACCGUUGCAAGACGCACUACUGCGAAAGCAUUUGCCAAGAAUGUUUUCGUUGAUCAAGAACGAAAGUUGGAGGUUCGAAGGCGAUCAGAUACCGCCCUAGUUCUAACCGUAAACGAUGCCAACUGACGAUUCGCUCGCGUUAAUUUAUAUAAAAGAAUGACCGAGUGAGCAGCCUCCGGGAAACCAAAGUUUUCAGGUUCCGGGGGAAGUAUGGUUGCAAAGCUGAAACUUAAAGGAAUUGACGGAAGGGCACCACCAGGAGUGGAGCCUGCGGCUUAAUUUGACUCAACACGGGAAAACUCACCCGGCCCGGACACUGUAAAGAUUGACGUAUUAAGAGCUACUUCUCGAUUCGGUGGGUGGUGGUGCAUGGCCGUUCUUAGUUGGUGGAGCGAUUUGUCUGGUUGAUUCCGAUAACGAACGAGACUCUAGCCUGCUAAAUAGGCGUACGAUUAACGGCCCGUUUUCUUUGCCGACCGAGCUUAGCGCCUCCUCGUGGGGAAUUGCGGCUUGGCCCGGCGGGUGCGGGCAUCGUUGUACGAAGUUUUAUUACUACUUCUUAGAGGGACGGGCGGCGUCUAGCCGCACGAAAUUGAGCGAUAACAGGUCUGUGAUGCCCUUAGAUGUCCGGGGCCGCACGCGCGCUACACUGAACGAGUCAACGUGCGCAAUAGUCCCUGUCCGAAAGGACCGGGCAACCCGUUGAAUUUCGUUCGUGAUAGGGAUCGGGGCUUGUAAUUAUUCCCCGUGAACGAGGAAUUCCCAGUAGGCGCGAGUCAUUAACUCGCGUCGACUACGUCCCUGCCCUUUGUACACACCGCCCGUCGCUACUACCGAUCGAAUGGUUUAGCAAGGUCUUCGGACUAUCGUGCACCGAUUUAUCACUUGGUUUCGGCCUUGCGUUGUCGGCGUGCGA
rnacentral:rRNA from 1 species